GCCUUCGUGGUGUAGUGGUCUGCAUGCUCGACACGUAAACGAGAGGUCCGUGGUUCGAUUCCCGGCGAAGGCA
rnacentral:tRNA from 1 species